AGAGUUUGAUCCUGGCUCAGGGUGAACGCUGGCGGCGCGCUUAAUGCAUGCAAGUCGAGCGUGAUCGUGGCUUCGGCCACAAUGAUAAAGCGGCAGACGGCUGAGUAACGCGUGAGUAAUCUGCCCUCCGGUGGGGUAUAACCUCGGGAAACUGAGGAUAAUCCCGCAUACGACCUGCAUCCCUUGGGGUGCAGAUGAAAGGCUUCGGUCGCCGGAGGAGGAGCUCGCGUCCUAUCAGGUUGUUGGUGGGGUAAUGGCCUACCAAGCCGAUGACGGGUAGCUGGUCUGAGAGGAUGACCAGCCAGAGGGGGACUGACAACGGCCCCCACUCCUACGGGAGGCAGCAGCAGGGAAUCUUGGGCAAUGGGCGAAAGCCUGACCCAGCGACGUCGCGUGGGGGACGAAGGCCUUCGGGUUGUAAACCCCUUUUCCGAGGGAAGAGAAAGGACGGUACCUCGGGAAUAAGCCCCGGCUAACUACGUGCCAACAGCCGCGGUAAUACGUACGGGGCAAGCGUUACCCGGAAUCACUGGGCGUAAAGUGCGCGUAGGCGGUUGGAUAAGUCUCUUGUGAAAGCUCCCGGCUCAACUGGGAGAGGUCAAGGGAUACUAUUUGAGUAGAGGACAGCAGAGGUAAGCAGAAUUCCCGGUGUAGCGGUGGAAUGCGUAGAUAUCGGGAGGAACACCAGUGGCGAAAGCGGCUUACUGGGCUGUAUCUGACGCUGAGGCGCGAGAGCGUGGGGAGCAAACUGGAUUAGAUACCCAGGUAGUCCACCCCCUAAACGAUGGAUACUAGGUAUGGGGGGUAUUGCCCCCCUCCGUGCCGUAGCUAACGCGUUAAGUAUCCCGCCUGGGGACUACGGCCGCAAGGCUAAAACUCAAAGGAAUUGACGGGGGCCCGCACAAGCGGUGGAGCGUGUGGUUUAAUUUGAUGCUAAGUGAAGAACCUUACCUGGGCCUGACAUGUUGGUAGUAGGAACCCGAAAGGGUAACGACCUCGGGGUAACUCGGGGAGCCUUCACAGGUGCUGCAUGGCUGUCGUCAGCUCGUG
rnacentral:rRNA from 1 species